rnacentral:rRNA from 1 species
UACGAAGGGGGCUAGCGUUGCUCGGAAUCACUGGGCGUAAAGGGUGCGUAGGCGGGUCUUUAAGUCAGGGGUGAAAUCCUGGGGCUCAACUCCAGAACUGCCUUUGAUACUGAGGAUCUUGAGUUCGGGAGAGGUGAGUGGAACUGCGAGUGUAGAGGUGAAAUUCGUAGAUAUUCGCAAGAACACCAGUGGCGAAGGCGGCUCACUGGCCCGAUACUGACGCUGAGGCACGAAAGCGUGGGGAUCAAACAGG